rnacentral:rRNA from 1 species
UACGUAGGGUGCGAGCGUUGCCCGGAUUUAUUGGGCGUAAAGGGCGCGUAGGCGGCCACGCACGUCCGUUGUGAAAUCGCCCGGCUCAACUGGGCGGGGUCAGCGGAUACGGUGUGGCUAGAGCAAGCUAGGGGGCAAUGGAAUUCCCGGUGUAGUGGUGGAAUGCGUAGAUAUCGGGAGGAACACCAGUGGCGAAGGCGGUUGCCUGGAGCUUUGCUGACGCUGAU